rnacentral:tRNA from 4 species
GGGAUUAUAGCUCAGUUGGUUAGAGCACCACGUUGACAUCGUGGGGGUCAUAGGUUCGAGUCCUACUAAUCCCACCA